CCUACGGGCGGCUGCAGUGAGGAAUAUUGGUCAAUGGACGAGAGUCUGAACCAGCCAAGUAGCGUGAAGGAUGACUGCCCUAUGGGUUGUAAACAUCUUUUAUAAGGGAAUAAAACGAGGCACGUGUGCCUUUUUGCAUGUACUUUAUGAGUAAGGAUCGGCUAACUCCGUGCCAUCAGCCGCGGUAAUACGGAGGAUCCGAGCGUUAUCCGGAUUUAUUGGGUUUAAAGGGAGCGUAGAUGGGUUGUUAAGUCAGUUGUGAAAUUUUGCGGCUCAACCGUAAAAUUGCAAUUGAUACUGGCAGUCUUGAGUACCGUUGAGGUAGGUGGAAUUCGUGGUGUAGCGGUGAAAUGCUUAGAUAUCACGAAGAACCCCGAUGGCGAAGGCAG
rnacentral:rRNA from 1 species